rnacentral:lncRNA from 1 species
UUCCUCGUAGCCGUGAGAGCUAAGAACCAGCUCAUUCCAUUGUGUCAGAUACUUGUAUUUGAAAUGAGUCACUCAGUCUGGUGGUAUUUAAAUGGAUCCCUGAUCUUGAAAUACUGCUUCUGGGAACACUUCCUGUCCAUAAAUAACCAAAGUCACGUGGUCACUUGAGCUCGUGAGAACACAACCUCUUCUCAGGACAUAUCAUGACAUGGUGACAAAGGCCAGUUCUUAGGGAACACAAGGAUCUACGUUCCAGCCAAGACAGAGGUAGGUGUAAGGCUUGUCUUUUGUUUUGAGUAAUUUAUGAAGGUAUAUCUAAUAUCCUGUAGUGACAGAUGCAUGGUCGCGCUUAUUCAUGACCUCAUUUGCUCUCUCAAAUUUUGUGUAAUUCUGGGUGUUAUGACAUAACUUUCUAAAAAUCUCUUAAUCAGGCUUUAUUUUAAAAUAACUUGAAUUUAUAUUUUUUGGCAACUUGAGAUGCUUUACAAUUUUAGUAAAAACAGCAGCAAUAAGAACAAACAGAACUGACUACAGAUGCACCAAUGAAUUACAUCCAUUGAAUUUGAGUUUCAUUUCCCACCAUUUCAUAUACUAGUAUCCAGAGAGCCUUUAAAUUAAAUAGCAGGUGGCAGCUACAGGCCCUGGGAGAAUCACUGCAAUUUUGCAUAAAUACAAUCCUAAAGCAUCUGGAAAGUUUUCAGACUGUAUGAGACUUAGUUCUAAAAGAAAAUCUGAUUAUUUAUAUUUCACUCUUUAAUGAUGACAAGUUGGUAUAAAUUGUAAAAGGAGCAUAAAGUUUUUCCUUGACA